UACGUAGGGUGCAAGCGUUGUCCGGAAUUAUUGGGCGUAAAGAGCUCGUAGGCGGUCUGUCGCGUCUGCUGUGAAAAUCCAGGGCUCAACCCUGGACCUGCAGUGGGUACGGGCAGACUAGAGUGCGGUAGGGGAGAUCGGAAUUCCUGGUGUAGCGGUGAAAUGCGCAGAUAUCAGGAGGAACACCGGUGGCGAAGGCGGUUCUCUGGGCAUUACCUGACGCUGAGGAGCGAAAGUGUGGGGAGCGAACAGG
rnacentral:rRNA from 1 species